rnacentral:rRNA from 1 species
GGAAUAUUGGGCAAUGGGCGCAAGCCUGACCCAGCCACGCCGCGUGAGUGAUGAAGGCCUUCGGGUCGUAAAGCCCUGUGGGGAGGGACGAAUAAGUCGGCGGUGAACAAUCGCCGACCUUGACGGUACCUCCUUCGCAAGCACCGGCUAACCCCGUGCCAGCAGCCGCGGUAAUACGGAGGGUGCAAACGUUGCUCGGAAUCAUUGGGGGUAAAGCGCUCGUAGGCGGCCUGACAAGUCAGGUGUGAAAGCUCUCGGCUUAACCGAGGAAGUGCACUUGAAACUAUUGGGCUAGAGUACUGAAGAGGGUCUCGGAAUUCCCGGUGUAGAGGUGAAAUUCGUAGAUAUCGGGAGGAACACCAGUGGCGAAGGCGGAGACCUGGGCAGAUACUGACGCUGAGGAGCGAAAGCGUGGGGAGCAAA